UAGUCUGGUGCCAGCAGCCGCGGUAAUUCCAGCUCCAAUAGCGUAUAUUAAAGUUGUUGCAGUUAAAACGCUCGUAGUCGGAUUUCGGGGCAGGUUUGCCGGUCUGCCGAUGGGUAUGCACUGGUAGAACUGUCCUUCCUUCCGGAGACGGCGCCUACUCUUAACUGAGCGGGUGUCGGAGACGGAUCGUUUACUUUGAAAAAAUCAGAGUGUUUCAAGCAGGCAGCUCGCUUUUGCAUGGAUUAGCAUGGGAUAAUGAAAUAGGACUUUGGUGCUAUUUUGUUGGUUUCGAACACCGAAGUAAUGAUUAACAGGGACAGUCAGGGGCACUCGUAUUCCGCCGAGAGAGGUGAAAUUCUUAGACCAGCGGAAGACGAACCACUGCGAAAGCAUUUGCCAGGGAUGUUUUCACUGAUCAAGAACGAAAGUUAGGGGAUCGAAGACGAUCAGAUACCGUCGUAGUCUUAACCAUAAACCAUGCCGACUAGGGAUUGGAGGAUGUUCCUAUGUGACUCCUUCAGCACCUUUCGGGAAACUAAAGUCUUUGGGUUCCGGGGGGAGUAUGGUCGCAAGGCUGAAACUUAAAGGAAUUGACGGAAGGGCACCACCAGGAGUGGAGCCUGCGGCUUAAUUUGACUCAACACGGGGAAACUUACCAGGUCCAGACAUUGUGAGGAUUGACAGAUUGAGAGCUCUUUCUUGAUUCGAUGGGUGGUGGUGC
rnacentral:rRNA from 1 species